rfam:TPA: Bos taurus chromosome X, whole genome shotgun sequence.
GGGGAACGAGAGAGGGGCUGGAGCCGUUGAACCACCCCAAGGCUUAGGAAGCAUAGGCUCA